CCUACGGGAGGCUGCAGUGGGGAAUAUUGCACAAUGGGGGAAACCCUGAUGCAGCGACGCCGCGUGAGUGAGGAAGUAUUUCGGUAUGUAAAGCUCUAUCAGCCGGGAAGAAACCCACCCUCCGCGUUGGCUGCCGGUACCUCCCUAAGAAGCCCCGUCUAACUACGUGCCAGCAGCCGCGGUAAUACGUAGGGGGCAAGCGUUAUCCGGAUUUACUGGGUGUAAAGGGAGCGUAGGUGGCAAGGCAAGUCAGAUGUGAAAACCCGGGGCCCAACCCCGGGAGUGCAUUUGAAACUGGCAGGCUAGAGUGCAGGAGAGGUAAGUGGAAUUCCUAGUGUAGCGGUGAAAUGCAUAGAUAUUAGGAGGAACACCAGUGGCGAAGGCGGCUUACUGGACUGUAACUGACACUGAGGCUCGAAAGCGUGGGGAGCAAACAGGAUUAGAUACCCUUGUAGUC
rnacentral:rRNA from 1 species